CAUGUAUUAACGCUUGCGACUGGCAGAAAGAACACACAUGAUUUUUAUGAAAACAGGACUACGGCAAAUGGUCAGAGGAGCGGUGCAGUCAGUGGAGCCAAAUGGAGAGGAGUACUCAGACUGAGACCAAAAAAGCUCUGUGGCAGACUGGCAGCCUGUCCAGGGUGUACCCAGCCCUUCACCUUACGACAGCAGGGACAGGCUUCAGCUCCCCCACAACCCUGAAUUGGAUAAGAUGAAGAAAAUGGAUAGAUGGAUUUAAAUGCCACAAAAGGGCAACUCAUGUGGCUGAAAAAAAGAAGCUUGCUCUCAUUUAUAGAACCCACCUCCUCUCCGCUUCACCCUUGUCACUCAGAGCUCCAUCCAGGUCGCUUUCUUCAUCUUCACCACCACUAGCUCCUAUACUCUGAGGGUGUUGUUCUUAUUCCUUUCAACACUGGGAUUCUG